rnacentral:rRNA from 1 species
UUCGCCCUUGGUUGAUCCCGCCGGACCCCACUGCUAUCGGGGUGGGACUUAGGCAUGUUAGUUUGUGUCUUCGAGCUAUGGUGAAGACACGGCGGACGGCUCAGUAACACGUAGCUAACCUGCCCUCGGGACGGAGAUAACCCCGGGAAACUGGGGCGAAUACUCGAUAGGUGAGAAGGCCUGGAAUGGUUUCCCGCCUAAAGGAUGUGGAACCAUGCUUCCAAUAUCGCCCGAGGAUGGGGCUGCGGCCGAUCAGGUAGUUGGUGAGGUAACGGCUCACCAAGCCUUUAACCGGUACGGGCCGUGAGAGCGGGAGCCCGGAGAUGGGCACUGAGACAAGGACCUAGGCCCUACGGGGCGCAGCAGUCGCGAAAACUCCGCAAUGCGCGCAAGCGCGACGGGGCUACCCCGAGUGCCGUCCGCUGAGGAUGGCUUUUCUCUGGUGUAAUGAGCCGGAGGAAUAAGGGGAGGGCAAGCCUGGUGUCAGCCGCCGCGGUAAUACCAGCUCCCCGAGUGGUGGGGAUGAUUAUUCGGCCUAAAGCGUCCGUAGCCUGCUCGGUAAGUCCUCCGUUAAAUCCGACGAUCCAAUCGUUGGGCUGCGGGGGAUACUGCAGGGCUAGGGGGCGGGAGAAGCUGACGGUACUCUCGGGGUAGGGGUGAAAUCCUAUAAUCCCAAGAGGACAACCAGUGGCGAAGGCGGUCAGCUAGAACGCGCCCGAC